UACGAGGGGGGCGAGCGUUGUUCGGAAUUAUUGGGCGUAAAGGGUGCGUAGGCGGUUUGAUAAGUCUGAUGUGAAAUCUAUGGGCUCAACCCAUAGUCUGCAUUAGAAACUGUCGGGCUUGAGUAUGGGAGAGGUGAGUGGAAUUUCCGGUGUAGCGGUGAAAUGCGUAGAUAUCGGGAAGAACACCCGUGGCGAAGGCGGCUCUCUGGGACGGUACUGACGCUGAGACGCGAAAGCGUGGGGAGCGAACAGG
rnacentral:rRNA from 1 species